CAGCGGUCAGGUCCCCUCUUGGCCAGAUCUUGGGAGGCAGGAAGUCUGGGAUGACUGCUCUAUGCGACACUGGCCGGCCGAAGGAGGACCCUGGGCCUCAUUCUGUCCGCACCCCCUUCAUUGACGUCCUAUCCCCAGUUCCUCAGACGAUAACCAUGUUUGGAGAUGUCUUUUAAAGAGGUGAUGAAGAUAAAACGAGGAUGUUGAGAUCGAUCCUGAUCCAACCUGACUGCAGGUGUCCUUGUAAGCAGAGGGAAUUUGGACACACAGAGGGGACACUGGGGACAGAAGAAAGACCAUCAAGGACACUCCUCGGCAAGACAAGGAGAGAGGCCCCAGAGUCAAAUCAACUGUGCUGACUCCUCGAUUCUGGACAUCCACCUUCAGAACCCUUCCUGGCUGUCUGUCCUUGGUCCCACCCUCCCGCCAUGAUGCUCUGCCAUUGUCUCAGGCCCAGAGCCAUGGAGUUGGCUAACUGUGAACUGAACCUCUGAAACCUGAGCCGGAAUGAACUUCCCACGCUCUCCAUUGCUCUUGUCAGGUUUUCUGUCAUCGUGAUGCAAAGCUGUCUAACUUACCGUCGAUGAAUGGAAAAAUAAUGAAACACGGUGGACCAUCCUGAAGAUGUAAAACAUGAGUGAAAUCCUGCUAUUUGUAGCAACAUAGACGAUCGUGGAGGACAUUACGUUAAGAAAGAAGCCAGGUGUAGAAAGAAAAGCAUGAGAGGCUCUCACUUCCACGUGGGAUCUAAAAGUGUUCUGGAACACUGGUUACCAGAGGCUGGGAAGGGAGACAGCGACCGGGAAUGGUUCCUGGGGACAGAGGUGCCCUGGUAGGGGUGGGGGUAACUUCUAGGAUUCUGUAGCACAAUAGGGCAGCUGGGGUCAGCACCACUUAACUGCACGUUUCAAAAUAACUGAUUUUGAAUUUUCCCAACACAAAGAAAUGAUAAGUGUUGGAGGUUAUAGUUACGUCAGUUAUUCUGAUCUGUGUUGAAAUAUCACACUGUACCCCAUAAAUAUAUGCAAUCAUUAUGGGCCAAUUAAAAAAUCAAGAUUUUUUUUUUAAAUACUGUUUUCUAGGCCCACUCCUGCUAGAGAGCCUGAUUAAUUUGCUCUGAGGUACGACCUGGACAUUGAGAUUCUUAAAUGCUCCUCAAAUGAUUUGAAUAUGUAGCCAAGUUUGAGUAUCGCUGCUGUAGAUUACUUUUACUUGUAAAGUAAUUAUUUAUGAGGAGGAUGGCAUUUAGGACGACGUUUUAGAGAAUCUGCACCAUCCUUUGGUCCCAGUGAGUUAAUGAGAGUCGGUUCAGAGAGGUGAGGCUUGGCAAAUUAACUAUCACACAGUUGGUGAGGAAGCUGACCCUCAUGGAAAGCAGUUUCCAAAGUGGAGAGAACAAACAAUCAUCUUGACGAAGGGAGUUUCCUAUAACAAACAUCAUAACCUAAUAGAGGUUAGAAGUCAGAAGACAUCAGAAAUGUUUGUUAAACAUUUACUUUAAUAUAACAGGAAAACUCUGGUUCUGUUAGUCAACAACAGAUUUAGAUCCUCCUUCAUCCUAACAAGGUAGGGAAGAAGGAGAGAUUUAGGCUGAUUUUAAUGUCAAUGGACACCAAACUGCUAAGAUAACGACAUAAAAGUUAUUAUCUCAAUGCUUUUAGUAUUUCAGAGGUGCUCACAUCUAAGUCUUUUUUUUUUGAGUUUCACUUGAACUGCUUGCCCCCAAAUUCCCAUAACUUCUAAUUUUAAAUUCAGUUUUAAUUAAGGCUGAAUUCAAGGUACCUUCGGUUCCCCACAUCUAUGGAUUCAACCAACUGUUGAUCAAAAAAAAUUGGCAUCUGGGCUGAGUACAUUGAGCUCCUUGGCCCUGUCACCCCCGCCCUCAAAUCUACAGUGUGACAACUACUCACAUAGCAUUUGCAUUGUAUUAGGAACUAUAAAUUAUCUAGAGAUGAAUUAAAGUAUAAAGAAGUGUAGGCGUAUUAUAUGCAAAUACUGUACCACUUCCUAUAAGGACAGAGAGCACCCACAGAUUUUGGUAUCUGUGGGGAGUUCCUGGGAAUCACCCCUAUGGACACUGAGAGAGGACUGCAGUUAGAAGUCACCAUAAUUUAUUUCCACCCCAUCACGAGAUCUCUGUGCCCAAAGACUAGCCCUUUGCCCCAGGUGUGUGGGAUUCCGUUCCGAGUCUGAAGGCUGUCCCUCUUCUUUACCAAGUUUCCACACCUGAGUUGGGACACCUGUUUGUCAACUGCCAGUCAAUCAACACCAACCCUGCGGGAGAGGAAACAGGAAUCCCAGUUUCUCAUUCCCACAUCCUCAUCGCUGACGUAUUUUCUGGGAUCUUUAUCAUUAGAUUACCAAGUUUUCUUCCAGAAGGCACUGAGGCCUUGAAAGUGAAUCGAUUCCAAAGUUUAAAGAGGAAAUCGCCUGAGAGAGAAAUGCAGGCUUGUCUUGGGUUAGAAAUGGAGACCUCUGCUGAUCAGCAAGAAUCUCUGGGAGGUCAUUUUUAUGUAUUCUACCUUGGCCAGAAAAAACACUGACCUUGGCAAACAAAUCAGAAUUCAGAUCCCAUGAGCUGCUUCUCUUUGGGGUCACCGUCUGUCCUUCAAGCUGGCUUUAAACAUCAGACCAAAGUGUUCACUCAUCAGAACAGGCGAGCCCGGCUAUGGUUUAUUACAUGUGAAAGUUGCUGCCUAAGACGGUUUAAGCCUUCUUCCCCGGAGCAUGCGGUGUAUUAGUCACUGGAGUCCAUAGAAACAAUGCAGAGGGUCUGAUUCCCCUGAAAACUCGAGCUCUCUGGGGCAUGCUCUAGAAAGAUGUGGCAGGAGUGAAGCACAGCUAAGAUGUGCCAGGUGUCAUGUGCAGAAUAAUGGACCCCCAAAUCCACAUGCUGAUCCCCAGAAGCUGUGAAUGGGUUAGGGUAUGUGGCAAAAGUUGCAGAUGGAAUUAAGGUUGCUAUUCCGCUGACCUUGAGGGCAGAUAUUAUCCUGGAUUAUCUGGGUGGGCCCCACAUAAUCAUGAGGGGCCAUAGAGGUGAAAAAGGAAGCAGAGUGACAGAAACAAAGAGGUGAAGAUAUGCAAAGGACUUGGCCUGAUGGUGCUUGCUUUGAAGAUGGAAGAACGAUCCUGUCUUAGUUGGUUUUCUGUUGCUAUAACUGUAUGCUGCAGACAAGGUAAUUUAUAAAGACUCGAGGUUUGCCGCAGUCUGGCUGGGCACAAAAUCACGAGCCACUCAAGCAGGAACAAAGUUUAUUUUUUGAAACUGCCGCCAAUGUCCGGUACCGCCCGGGCAGAUUUUUUCCACCCACGCGGCCUCCUCCCGGAAGAGAGCUCCUCCCCCGGAACUCCCUCCUACUGUACUUCCCCAACCAAUGGGAACUCUCCAGGAGUCCCGUAGCCGGCCUAGGUGAACAGCAGGAGUCCAAUAUCCAUAUGAAUGCAAAUCUUAACAUAAUCAUAUCAUCUCAAUGGCUAGCUGGCGUCACCUUUCGACCAAAAAUGCCAUGCAUCAUAUACUUGGCUCUUAGCAUCUCCCCCCUUAUGUUUAAGUAACAAGCAAUCUGACUAGGGACCGUGCCUGUUAGGUUUGUCCAAUUCAACAUAUGGUUCUUACCCGUCAUCGGAAAACUGACUUUUAGGCGUUAGCCUCCUGUCUUAGGUUGAUACCACUGCAAUUGGAUCAUACCCGUCACUGACUACCGGUCCAGCAUAUAGCCAUACUUGUGGAUAGGCCUAUGUACCAGUGGGGGGGUGAGGUUCUUUGCCUCACCUCUGUUGGCCCCCAAAUUUGGCCUUGGUGCCGGUGGGGGGGUGAGGUUCUUUACUUCACCUCUGUUGGCCCCCAAAAUUAGACCAUCACUAGUAGAAGGGAGGAGGAUACAGAAAUGUCAUGACACCAAGUCAAUUAACGGCUCCUAGGAAAAAUUGCAUCACUGGUGACACAUCAGCAAAGAUACGCUAGCACUAUCAUAAUUCACUGCAUCAACAAAUAGAUCACAAAGCAUACAAGUGAUACAUAGUCCAGGCAAGUUCUGUAAGCAGUUCAAAGCAGAGGAAUCUAUCAAUAUGUCCAUAUCCUCCCAAAAUAAAGCAUACAAGUGAUACAUAGUCCAGGCAAGUUUUGUAAGCAGUUCAAAGCAGAGGAAUCUAUCAAUAUGUCCAUAUCCUUCCAAAAUAAAUCGACUCAUUGAUUGAGCAUUACUUGGUGAGUUAUAAACCAUUGAUGUAUCAGUUUACACGGUUUGUUGUGAUAACUCUCGAAGAAGUUGUAGUUUGGUUUUAUCUUUGUCUUCACCGGCACUGGGAUGAAAAUAGGAAUUUUGACAAUGAUGCUAAAAAAAAUAUGUAACAUUUCAACAGGUAACAAGAAAACAAUAUUUAGAACAAUUUACAUUAUCCUGAACAGAAUAAUAAAAUAUAAUGAAAAGGAAAGGUGAAAGUAAACAAACAUAUCUGUUAACCUUCUAUUUGUUCAUAUAUUAAAACAAUCCUCAACAGCUGUUUACCCAAAUUAAAUUAAACUAUUAAAAUCACGUGAAUAAUAAAAAAAAAUUUUUUGGAUCCAUGUGCAUGAGCGCUUCUCAUAUGUGAUAUAUGGACAUACACACAUACAGACAUACAACACAAAACAGAAGUGUGCACACGUAACAUAUAACACAUAAGACAAUAGUAAAGGCCUUGUAGCUUUACCUAGGUGAAAUCUCCAUUGCAAUGUUCAAAAACUCCACAGUCAAAAAAUAAAACUGAUCAGAAAAAACAUUAACCUAGGUCUGUAUGAGCUCAAAAAUAAAA